rnacentral:lncRNA from 1 species
AUGAGAUUAUGACAUUAAAAUUAGGUCAUAGUGGCAUUGGUGAGGGAAGAUGAAGGAACUUUCCUUCCUAUAUUAAUUAGUUGAUUAAUUUUAAACUACUAAAGUUUAGUUGUUGGUUUAAUAAAAUAAAUGAAUGUUUCAAAACUUAUAAUUAAUUUAUUAUUUAUGGUUACAUAUUGUUGAAUUUAAAUAGAAAGAGGAAGAGACAUGUAAUCUUUUGCAAUCUAUUAAUUAUUUUCUAUUUUUAAUAUAUGCCACAAAUCUUAACUACUUAAUAUUUAUAGAGUUUGAAGAAGCCAAAGGUACUAAACAAAAGGUUGCAUAAUUAAAAAUGAGAUUAUAGCAUUAAAAUUAGACCCUAAUGGCAUUGUUGAGGGAAGAUGAAGGAACAUUCCUUCCUAUAUUAAUUAAUUGAUAUAUUUAAGCCACUAAAAUUUAAUUGUUGGCAUAAUAAAAUAAAUAAAUGUUUCAAAAUUUAUAAUUAAUUAUUAUUAAUGGUUACAUAUUAUUGAAUUUAAAUAGAAAGAGGAAGAGACAUGUAAUAUUUUAUAAUCUAAUAAUUAUUU